rnacentral:rRNA from 1 species
UACAGAGGGUGCAAGCGUUAAUCGGAAUUACUGGGCGUAAAGCGCGCGUAGGCGGCUUUGCAAGUCGAGUGUGAAAUCCCCAGGCUCAACCUGGGAACUGCAUUCGAGACUGCAUAGCUAGAGUAUGGGAGAGGGAAGUGGAAUUUCAGGUGUAGCGGUGAAAUGCGUAGAUAUCUGAAGGAACAUCAGUGGCGAAAGCGACUUCCUGGACCAAUACUGACGCUCAUGUGCGAAAGCGUGGGGAGCAAACAGG